rnacentral:rRNA from 1 species
GACGAACGCUGGCGGCGUGCCUAACACAUGCAAGUCGAACGGAAAGUCCCUGCUUUUGUGGGGUGCUCUAGUUGCGAACGGGUGAGUAACACUUGGGUAACCUGUCCUUGACUGUGGGGGAACUUCAGGAAACUUGGUCUAAUACCGGCAAGGAUCUCUUGCUUCAUGGUGGGGGUUGGUUAGAUUCGGCGGUUGGGGAUGGACUCGCGUCCUAUCAGCUUGUUGGUGGGGUAGUGGCUUACCAAGGCUUUGACGGGUAGCCGGCCUGCGCGGGUGACCGGCCACAUUGGGACUGAGAUACGGCCCAGACUCCUACGGGAGGCAGCAGUGGGGAAUAUUGCACAAUGGGCGGAAGCCUGAUGCAGCAACGCCGCGUGCGGGAUGACGGCCUUCGGGUUGUAAACCGCUUUCGCCUGUGACGAAGCGUGAGUGACGGUAAUGGGUAAAGAAGCACCGGCUAACUACGUG